rnacentral:lncRNA from 1 species
AAAUGGGCAGCGACUCAACCGAGCAACAGAACGAGGCUACUGGAAAGCUACUGGUAAAGAUAGGAACAUUGUUACUAAGAAGGGCGCAAAAAUUGGGAUGAAGAAGACCUUGGUAUACUACAUUGGUCGAGCUCCUGAAGGCAAGAGGACUCAUUGGGUGAUUCAUGAAUAUCGUGCAACUGAAAAGUCAUUGGAUGGAUCACAACCUGGCCAGGUCUGCACAUCCUUUAUCCAUCUUAUGCUUGAGUUUGUAUUUCUAUUUUGUGUAUAAAAGAUUGAUUGCAUCGUGGUGCAAUUGUUGGUUGCUUUUAUCAGAUUCUACGAUGUAAUUAUACACAUAAGAUGGUGCGUAGAUCAUGUAAAUCACGCCUUAUCCAAUACGCUGCAUAUUCAUGUCAUGGGUUACUUGAACAUAUAUGGUUGGUUAGUUCUAUCCUAUUUGGUUCUUAAUCUGUUUUUCAGGAGUCACAAAAUAAUGCAGGUACAUGCUAAUUUUAUAGCUAUGUAGUCCAUUUGUGAUUGUAUUAUUAAUCCCGUGGACUGAGCAUACAAGGAUUCUAUAUCACUUGAGGGGAGCAAGAUUCGUGAUAUUAAUUAUAUGCUGCAAAAAGCAAAAUAUUUAUUAUAUGAACUCUUGUUUGCGCUUGGUUAUUUUUGUGGAAAAUAUCUUCAGCCAACAUGAAUUGUAAUUACUCGUUGCAAAAUUAAAUAUCCUCCGUUACAUCCACUUGAGGUUUUUCAUGAGGCUCUGGAAUUGUAACAAUAAUUGCGUAACCAGAUGUUGAAUUUUUCUAGCUUUGUUGUCGUUAGUUUUUCCUUCCCUAAUUUGUAUAGACUCGUGAAGUGCCUUACAUGUAGUGGCAGAAUANUGUGUUGGAUCUCUUCCCCGAAACAGCCCAAACCUUAACACACAGUGCACUUUUGACUGUAUUUUUGGUUUUAUCAUAGGCCUGAUCCCAAACCCCCCUUUCUUUUUGGAAUGCUGAAGUUAAGAUUCAGAAAGAAUAUAAUAGAAUGAAUUGGUUUGAAUGGUUGCAGAUUUGUCUGUGGUAGAGUCACAUGACAACGAGUGGUUCUUCUUCUGCCCGAAGGAUCGUAAGUACCAAAAUGGGCAGCGACUCAACCGAGCAACAGAACGAGGCUACUGGAAAGCUACUGGUAAAGAUAGGAACAUUGUUACUAAGAAGGGCGCAAAAAUUGGGAUGAAGAAGACCUUGGUAUACUACAUUGGUCGAGCUCCUGAAGGCAAGAGGACUCAUUGGGUGAUUCAUGAAUAUCGUGCAACUGAAAAGUCAUUGGAUGGAUCACAACCUGGCCAGGUCUGCACAUCCUUUAUCCAUCUUAUGC